CUCCUCCAGAGAAAUAGAAGCUAGCCUUCCUUCUUAUUUCCCUUUUAUGCCAUGCUGGCAACAAUCCUCCUGAGCAUACAUCUUCUACACACAGAACUAUGCUGAUCCAAUUUAGUUGGGCUAUCACAAUACAUCCCUUGUCAACUUGACAAUCAGACACAUUUCUUUAAAUCAUGUUUCCAGAUAAAAAGGCAAGCUCAUAAUCAUACCUAACAAGUUGUAAGUCUCCUGAGUACAAAUAGACACACACUAACUCCCUUCCUUGAAUAGAAGACAGUUUUUCUUUGUGUGAUGCUUACUGCUAAUAUUUCAAAACUUGUAGGUCCUAUACAGGUUAAACAACACUUAACCAACAUUAUAACUAUCAGCAUUAUAUUACAUUGGAAGCAUACUAGGAGUGAACAAUUAUAGUUCUUAUUUCUGUUGCUGAUUAUGGAAUCAUAGCUGGUAUUUAGAACUACCUUCUUCUUUCUACCCAAUAUGUAUUCCCUUGGCCUUCAGCAAGCAUCUCACAGGUCUUGGUUCUUUCCCAGGUGAGAGUGACCCAUGCCUUUAUUCUUGAAGGCUGUAGGUCAUUUGUCAUUCUGCCUGGAACGGGUUGUUGUAGUUUCUGUUGCAUAACUGCAGUCCCCACUGUAAGAUCUGGCAUACAGAGAAGAGCAGUGACAGGGCUCAUCAAGGAUUUUUCUGGGUCAUUCCAGUGUGGUAGACUAGGUUUUAAGUUAACAAUCCACUCCAGUAUUUCCAUUUCCCUAAGCCUCUGAAACCCCUCAUCAACAGUAAAUCAUGAAAUAUUAGGCAUCUCUGACUCAUUCACAAUGGGCCGUCUUUUAAUUCAUAAUCCUGCCAACCAGGUAUAUAAACGAUUAACACUGUUUUUUAAUCAUCCAGGACCUACAACAUUAAAUUCAACAUCUAUGCUUUGUGUGCCCGUAUCAACAAGUAUAGCCUGAUCCAGGUGUAUAUUUUUGCUACCAUCAUCCCAUACCUAUAAAAUCCAUUCCUGCAUUUGCUCAUCAGGCUUCCGCUUUAAGAGUUAGAAAACUCAGGAAAUUAGAACUUUUCAUGGGGGAAUGUGUACCUCACCCUUAGGCAUUGUCUUAGUUACAUUUGUUUCACUGCUGAGGCAAAUACCCACCACUCAAAGUAAAAGGGGGAAAGGUUUAUUUAACUCAUAGUUUGUAGAGAUUUCAAUCCAUAAUCACCUAGUUCCAAGGCCCGUGGCACAUUGAGGGGGAAAUUGUUCAUGGUCCUGGAAAACAGCAAAAGGAACCAGACAGGAAAGAUAAGACUCUUUCUGUCCCUUGUAUUGUGUGCAGGCUACAUACCAGGGCAAAUGUAGCACUGGAACCCUUACUCCUACCCAUAGAGAUGCCAAACCAGUCAGUGGACUGAUUUACUAAUCACACACCCUUAAUUCCAGCAUCACGUGCUGUAGAUUUAGGCACUGCUCUACAGCCAUACCAUCCUGAAUGCUCCUGAUCUCAUCUGAUAUCAGAAGUUAACUAGGGUUGGGCCUAGUUAGUACUUGUAGAGAAACCUCUAAAAAGCCUAUCCUAUUUAAGAUUGCAUGAAACUUUAGGGGAAUAUCUAGACACAAGCCAUAACAGGCACCUUCUGUGAUUUGAAAUGGCUUAUAACCCCACAGACCAAAAUGGGUGAUGAGGAUGAAUCCUGAGGAUUGCCAGUAUUAUGCUUGAUCAACACAGAAUUAGUUUCCUGAGAUAUACUAGGAGAGUCCAACCCCACAGAGGGUGAGGAUGCCUCACCACUAUGAGUCAGGAAAUCUCUCCCUCUGGCUGACUAUUUUCAUUGGAGUCUAGACACUCAUACCCUCACUUUUAUCUAGAUGUCACCACCUCAGUUUAUGAGACCCCAUUCUCUUUUUCAAUCAGAGCCUUCACCUUUACUUCAGAUAGCCUUCCUUAUAUGGUGCAUUUCAGCCAGCUGAAUUCUACAGUCUUGGUAAAAGGAGGCUAGAUUCUUUUUCAGGACAUGCUUAGGAAGUUUUAAAAUUUUUUCUGUGUGUCUGGAGCUAAGAGUUUGCAUCUUUGAGCUCCUAAUUUUCCUUUAUUAAUUUCUUCUCACAGUUAGAAAACAUUAGAUUUCCUAUAAACAUUUUGAACUCAUCGUUUUUCUUCAGUAGUUUUCCAGCAAGUAUAUUUCCCAUUAUGCCAAAAUUUUUCAGAAAUAUCGUAUAGAGUUGCUAAAUUCCUUAUAUUUCACAAAUGGUGAAAUAGGAUAAAGUGGAUCCACAUUGCAUAUUACUUUAAAGAGUUCACACUAUCAAUAUUCCUCACUGUACUAGAAGGAGACACCAUAGAGUUUUUAGUGUCCUCAAAUUAGAAUGUCAACUCUAGGAAGCCCUAAAGCCAUUAAAGGAUUUCAUCUUUACAGUUCUGUUUUCUAGAGUCACUUGUGGUACCAAAAUCUGUAUCAUUCAGUGCUUACUAGGGAACUUUUGGGAAUAUGACAGAGUGGUGAACAACAGAGCAAGAGCCUCUCCAAGAUUUGGUGUCCAGGUAUUGGAAUAUAGUAACAUAAGGAAGUGAAAAAGGAGGGAGGUAAGUCCCGUGGACCCAGGAAAGAUCUGAAGUGAAACUUGAAGUCCAUGGAGGGAGAGAAUCCAGAAAUCUAGCAAAAAUAAGAAAAUCAGGCUCGGGGCUGGGGGUUUAGCUCAGCGGCAUAAGCACCUGCCUUGCAAGCAGGUGGUCGUGAGUUCGAUCCCCGGUACCGAUAAAAAUGAAAAAGACAAAAAAAAAAAAAAAAAAAAGAAAAUCAGGCUCACUGCCAAGGGUCCAAGGAGAAACCACGCUCCCUACUGAACCAGGCACCAGACCUAGAGAAGAAGCCACACCUCCCAGUGAGGCAGCCACUGCAGACCCAAAGAGAAGAGCCACACCCUCAGUGAACUGCACCCAAAACACAUCCAGGAGAUGCAGACACAAAAGAACAAGUUCAAGAGACACAUACAUGGAAUAAAUUAGAAAAUACACACUGAAGUUUCUGAAAUGAUACCCCCAGGAAGUAAAGAAACAAUUGAGGGCUUAUAUUGUUUGAUAAACUUAGCAUGCCUGUAUCUAAUAUUCUGAGCAACUAUUUGGAAGAUAACAAUGUGCAAUGCAGUAACUAUGGUUGAUUUCCUACUGUCUUGUUUUUGAAAUCCAAGGUCUUAUUGUAUUGUCUUGUUUCACUUUGUUCUCUUUAAAAUAAAAAUAAAUCAGUGCUUACUAGAGAAAUUGAUUUAAUGCAAGAUGUAUAAAUAAAUAAGAAUUUAUAAGAUUGGCUUACAGUGGCCAUCACACACUCAAGUGUAGAAGGAUGUAAAAGGGCUAUCUGCAUGCUGCAGAUCUAAAGGAUCCAGUGAAAAACCUGAAGUCCACUGUAGUGACCUAUGCUGGUCCGUAUCAGGAGGCCAAGAGGUCUGUGAUGAAGGCUGGAGGUUUGAACUGGAUGCCAAAAUGUCUACCCUGGAAGCCAGGAAACAGUGUCUGAGGUAAAGGGGAAGACUGGAGCCCCGCCAAUUUAGUUAGGCAUUUCUUUGUUUGUUGUUUUUUUUUUUUUUUUUUUUUUUUUUUUUUUUUUUUUACACAGGGUUUUGCUAUGCAGUUCUGGGUAAUUUUGAACUCACUGUGUAUCCCAGCUGGCCUUGAAUUCAUGCCAAUCUUCCUGCUUCAGCCUCUGAGUGCUAGGGUUACAGACGUGCACCACCAGGCCUGGUUUAGUUGUAGGUUUCUUAUUCAAACUGAUACAAUCAGCUAUCACAAAAACUAAAUUUAUAUCUGCAUUUAUCUGUUGACAUAUAUACUCAAAUGUACUUUCUAUCCUUUGUAACUGUAUUUACCUUAAGCAUGAAUUAUUUGUAUUUAUAUUAUAUAGGUGGUGUUCAUAGUGUUUAGAACUUGGGCUUUUGAAAUGACAGUAUUUUACAACUAAAUGUUAGUCUUACACAUUUUCAUAAAUGAAAACUGAUAUUUCACUUAAAGGAAUGUUUGAUGUUAAUAUUUUAAUAAGAGUAUUCAGAGAUAUAUAAUAUUGUUUUUAAAUUUCUUUCAAAAAUUAAUGUAUAUGUAUAAUUAUAUGUACUCAUGAAAAUAAUAACCUUUUUUUUAAGCUUGUAAAGUUAAAAGCAUAAAAUGUACUAUAAUGAUAGGAGAAAGGCCCUGAAAGCAUGCAAGUUCAUUUUACACUUACUAAACGAUGACAAAAUUACUCUUCUAUUGAAUUUGUAAAACAGGAAAAUAUAAAUUACAAAAAAUUUUCUCAAAUAUCCCUAAAACUAUUUUCAAAGAACAAAAGGAAAGCAGUAAUUGAACAAAAGCCAGUUUUAUUCACAGAAUGCAGUUUAAUCUGGAUUUGGUGGCUCAUAUCUGUAAUCCAUGUCUUGAGGAAGCUAAGGCAGGAGGAUUACUGUGAGUUCAAGGCCAGUCUGAAGUACACAGUGAGAUCCUGUCUUAAAAAACAAAAAACGAAAAAGUAUACCUUUAUUAUCACUUCUCUAAAGAAUUUUAAAGUCAGUCAUUUCUGACAUUAUACUAUAAUCAUCAAAAUUCAUUUCUUAUCUGUUUAUGUGUACAAAAAAUACAGUGGAAAAGUAUUGUGAAAUGCUAUGUAUGUCGUCUUUUAGAAGGUGACUAUGGUAUUUAUGCAAGAGAAAUUUAUAUGAUUCUUGGUUGGUAAAAUGCUAACUGAGGAGUAUGAUUUAUAACAAAAAUGUAGAGAUCUUAUUGUAAUAAUGUAUCAUGCAUUCCAUUUCCUGCAAGAAAAUCAAUCACUAUAACAUACUAAUACCUUCUGGUAUUCUUUUUUACUACUUUACAAGGAAAAUCCAGUAUUUGAACUUGGUAAAAAUGGAUGGUUAGACUAUUGGGUAAUGUCUGAAAAUUUAUACAAAUUAUUCAGAUAACAAUCCUUAAAAACUGGUACUGCUUGACAGCAAGAAUGGUGUUUUGGUGAAGUACUGUAUUGCUUACAUUGUUCUGUUCUGACCUGCUUUGUUCUGUCCUCUUUUGUCUUAAUCUCUCUAAAAUAAAAAAAGAAUUGUGUUUUAAAAGAAAUAUUGGAAAAGAUCUCUAACACCUAUUCACUGAUAUUCUUGAUCUGAAAUGAGGAAUAUCUAGUGAUUGAUGAGUAUAGUCUUUAUCAUUUAUCAAUAUAGUGACUAAAAAGUUGAUGUGUUUAUAUUGGAAAACUAAUCUUUGGCUACAUGGUUCUAUCAGAAUGGAAGACUUCAACCACUAUUUCAGUUUUCUAUAUAUACUCCUUAUAAAGUUAAAAUAAUUUAGUUAACUUUGCAUAUUAUCAUAUGUGUAAUAUGUUCAGAAUAUAGAAAACAGUUGUACUAUAAUUACUACAACUGAUACUAAUACUAUUUUUCUUUCUUCUUUCCUUCUCUCUCUUCCUUCCUACUUUCCUUUCUUCUUUCUCUCAUUAAGCUGGGCAGCAGUAAGCAGAGGUUCUGAGAUAUAAAAUACAUAAUUUAUUUGAGCAAACAAUUCUUUUGGUGAGACAUGGUGCUUUGGUUUGAACUAAGGGAUUCUUGCAUGUUAACACAUGCUAUAACACAGAGCUAUAUCCCUGGCCCUACACAUUUAUUUUUAAAAGCAUUCACUGAUUAUAAGUUAUUCAAGAAAUAUCCAAUGUUAUAAUUUAUAGUUAUUGUAUUUUCAUUCAUAAAAGUGUUUCAAGUAUGUAGAUGGACAAUGUGAAAUAUGAUCUCAAUCACAAGAAUUUAUCAGCAUUUAUUAAUUUAUCCAACAUUUGUUAAGAUCCACCUUAUAUGGGAAGUUUGCUAAGAACUGCAGAGACUAAAAUAUAUAGUAAAUGAUCCUGAUUCUCAAGGUCUUCAGCUAACUGAUUAUUAAAUGUAAAAACUAUUACUGGGGGGAGUUCUUAGGGCACAGAGGAGGUAUAAAGAGGACACCUAAGGUUGGUCAGAUUAAAAAUGGGGUCCAAGGGUAAAAAUUUGCAUGAAUUUUCUUCUUCAGUUUUUAAUCUAUAGGAUUUUAUUACAUGUAAUUCAAACUUUUUUAUUGUUAUUAAUAAUUAGUCUUGACUGAGAUUUGUCAAAUUAUCUUUUCAAGAUCCAGAAUUUAGUUUUAUUGAUCCUUUUAUUAUGUGUUUAUUUUCUAUUUCCAAACAUAUAUGUGUUUUCUGGUUUUACUAUUUUUCUUUUGAUCAAGGAAUAUAUACUAUGUUAAUCAUCCCUUUGGAAAUUUUACUUUCUUUAUAUCCUCAUGUUGAAGCUUAUAAAAAUAUUUCACAUAUACUUGAGAAGAAUGUGAAUUUUACAAUUAUCAUUUUAGUAUUCUAUAUAUAUUCAUUCACUAUCAUUUGUUAACUUUACUGUUUGAGCUUCUGUAGUAUAACUUUUUGAAAUUUUAUUGUAGUAUUACUUUUUUUAACUGAUUCUCAGAUCAGUUAUUGAAAAAACUGUGUUAAAAUUUUCAAAAUAUGAUCUGAAAUCUUCAGAGUAAGGAGUAACUCUGUAAAUUUUGCCUUACAUAUUUUAAGAUCAUGUUGUUUUAGAAACAUAUGGAUUUUUUCAAUGGCUUUCAUAUUCUGUCCAGAAACCUGAAAAGUAUCUAUAUUUAUGCUUGGGUUAGACAGCUGCUGCUGCUGCUGCUGCUGCUGCUGCUGCUGCUGGUUGUUUGUUUGUUUUUUAAUCAGCUCUGGGAUGGAACAUAGGACCUUGUGCUAGGAAAGUUCCUUACCCCUAAGUUAUAUCCCAGCCAUCUAUUUUUUUUUAUUGUGCCUUUGACUAAUGUUUAACUUGAAUAGCUUAUUCCAUAUCUUGAAAUAAUGCAUAUAUACAGUAAGGAACUACUGAGAUACUUUUAAUAAUGCAACAACAUAAUUACAUUCAUUUUAAAAUGAUUGUUUUAUUUGACAAAAAAGGUUGAUACAUGAGAGUAAACACAGAAGACAGUUGAUUAGGAAGUUAUGAAUUUUUCCCAUGAGUGAUGGCUUCCAAUAGGGUUAAAGUUAGAACACAGAGACCAUCACAUUAAGAUGAUACUUUAAGCACUUCAUUAAUUUACCUCAGUUUAUCUUAUACAGUUUGUAAGAUACCUUUGAUGUUAGCAAGAUUAUAAAUUAUUUUUUGUUAAUAACUUGGCAAUCCUUAAAUGGGUAUCAAAAUGAAAUUGAACAAAUAAGCAUAAAUAUUAGCAACAUAGAAGCAUAUGUAUUCAUCGAUUUUAAAAUUCUGGACAAUUUUUCUAAGUGGUAACCAUUAAGUAGGUAGAGGAUGACCUAGAUGUUUUUUCUUUUGAAAAAAAAUUUUGGUCAUUUGAGCAUUGUUAAUUCUUGCUUUGUGCUUUGCAUUGUUUUCCUCCUCUGAAUCUUCUUUCUGCUGGGACCAAUUAUUUUUAUGACCCAGAGUAUUUGAACUGAGGCUGAAAGAGCAAGAUUAGUCUGGCUUAUCCAUCAGGAGUCUCAGUGACUCUUCCUCCACUAGAGGGUUUACCUGGCGCUUGACUUCAUUCUGCUACUCACUGCAGGUAUCUGUACUUACCAUGCUGUUAACCUGCGGAGUCACUAGUAUGCCUUUCCAAACUUUACAAAUUUUCUAACAAUCUGGCCACUAUAGAAGUCAAAUGACUUCUUUCUUUAGGAAGAAUUAUUUAGUGUUUUUAAACUGUGCUGCACGAACUGUAGCAGUGUUUUAGGGACCAUCUGGAGUGAACAGGUAUGGAUGAUCAGAAGAACUCCUUAGUCUACCAUACCAGCUCCAGCUAGAGAAAUGGUAUAGUUAUCUGGUUAAAUGCAGAGGAUUUCAUUUGAAGAGUUUCUUGUUACUUUAAAAAAAUGUUUGGAAAAACAUUUUUAAAUAAUGUAAAUCAUAAGCAAUUCUCUGUUCAUAAUGACAUUUACCAGGCAAAAUCAGGUCAGUUGUGGUAGUUUUCUUGAAGACUUUCUAUUUUCUUUCUUUUCUUCUUCUUCUUUUUUUUUUAAAUAAGUGAAGAAACUAUAUUUCAUGGUAAAUAAAAAACUAUACAUUGAAAUUAGGUAGGCCUAACGUGGUCUCUUGGCACUGUUUGCUAAUUUAAACAACAGAGCUAUAUUCUUCACAUUUAGUUUCAGCAGAGAUCUUUUAAUUCUGACUCCUUCUCCAUACCUAUAUUAAGAAAGUAAUUAACUGUUGAGAAGAUGUAUUACACUUGAGAUCUCCAAGUGUAAACCGAUAAUAAAUAUGUUAAAACUUGCAUUUAUAAUCUAUUUCAGGAAUAGUUAAUGUCAUUACUGUGUUCCAGUACUAUGUAAAAAAUUCCUUCUUCAAAGUAAAACUUAACUUCCAGGAGAGAAAAGAUAAGUAUCAGCAUGGUUUUUGUUUCUUAGGCUGACAAAAGAAUAGCUGCUGGGUAUGGUAUCUUUGAAAAUAGCUAGCUUGGUCAGGUUUCUUAAUCUUAAAUUUAUGGAACUUCUUUGAUAAUAAACAGUUUGAUAUCUAGAAAUUUGAUUACUUACUGUGAACACAGUGAUGGGUACCCUCAAGGCUUGUAAAACAAUACUUUUAAAACUGAUAAUAGCACUGGGUAGCUAUCAACUAGGAAAUAUCUGUAUUUUAGAUAUUUAUAGUACCUGAAACUUAAUUUUAAAUCUGCAUUUAUUUGAUAGAUUGUCAAUGAACUUCAACUUUUCACCUUAAUGUUUCUAUGGUCAUAGUACACGGUAGCGGUGGGAAUUUUUUAUUGGCUUUCUUGCCCAGACUGCUGUUUGCCAGCAGAAAUAUAAACUGGUAUGACCAGAGUGAAAUGAUGAGACACAGGCAAUGGAAAAAUAAACAAAAUGGGAACUACUGAAAAGGAACAAAAACAGAAAAAUUGUAGAGGAAUACCAGAAGGUAGCAGAAACGUGAAAAAGAUAUGGAAUGGAUAACAAAAAUAAAUGAAAGGUGUAUCCCGAAAUGCUGAGGAGAAGAAAAGGAAUGAAAUAUAGAAGAGUUGACGUUAAGGGUUGAGGAAAAGCAACAAACAAACAAACAAAUGAGAGAUAAAGAUUUAUGGAACUCAAAGAUUUGCUUUUACAACUAGGUAAAUUAUAAUUAAAAUAUGUUUUGGUUAUAGCGGAUUAAACUGUUAGCUUUUUAAAACUUUAGAAUGUAAAACAUUUUAAUGUUUUUUUUUUAAUCAGACUAAGAACAGCCUACUGUGUUCUCUGAUCUUACUCAUUAACAUCUUCUGUUGUUUCCCUUUGAUAAUAGAAAGGCAGUGUCAGAGAUAACAGGGAUUUUAAAACAUCUGAAUGGCAUGCUUUAGAACUACAUUUUAAAGUAGUAGUCAAGGUUUUCUGUACAAUCCUUUACUUAUUAAAAGUUACCAACUACAGCCCUUCAUUUAGAAAUGAGACAGUUACUUAUAUUAGCAGAUUUUUUACUUUCUUUACAGGCUUAUUGUCUACAAUUUAUGUUUGGUUGAAGAAAGUCCUUUUUCAUUUUUAUAAAUGAUUUGUAAGCAAAAACUUUUAUUCUUUUCUUCCAAAUAAAGCUUCUGGCAUAUAUCAUUUCCAUCUGUUCUAUAACAUAAACGUUGGAAGUUACUUGAGCUGUUCCUUACUCAGAAAUUUGGUACAUUAAUUGCAGUUAAAUAUUUCUUAUUUUAUGAUGAAAAGUUCUCUUCCUGAGCUGCUUAAUAAGUGAGAUAACAUCCUUUAGUCAUUUAAUAAAUGAAAUUUAAGAACAUACUUUCCAGGUAUGUUACUUAUAAAACUACAGAAUGAUUAUAACAUAGCCCUUAUUGUUUAGGAGCUGAAAAGUUUUUGCUUGGAAAAACAAUUAGGGAGAAAUUCCACAGGAAGGGAUGAAAGUUUGUUACCCUGUACGCUUUGAAGUGACAUUUAAAGGUUGAAUAAAAGUUUACCUAGCCAGGAAGAAACAUCGUUAUUUUUGUGAAAUAUAAUUUAUGCUAGCAUUAGAACUUGCAUAGUUUCUAGAAAGAAGAGGCAAAGAAUGAAUUUUUCUUUAACUUGGUAGUUAAUUAUACCACACCCACAGGAGCAGAGGUAAUACUGUACUAUAGUUUGGUCAGAGAAGAACUCCCUCAAAUAUUGUAAGGGACUUACAAGAAAUUAGAUAUUGUUCAUUUAUUGGUGCUGGUUACAUAAUUUAUAGAAGUCUGUGUCAUUGUGCUGUUGCUGAGCUUGAUGUGAGCAAGACCAGAAGUCAGCUCUUGAGGUCAGGGAGAACCCACAAGAACAGACUAGAAGCACAUCAGUCACUAGAAUUCUGUAUGCAUCUCUGCCCACUCUGAGCAGCUUUGCUGAUGUGAGGGAGUCUGCAAAACAGCUUUGGCUUGCUAGACGAACAGGAACCUGGUUUAGAAUUUGGAAAAGCUAAAUGAAGAUUGUGUGUUUCCUAAAGGAAGUGUGGACACAGCUGCCCUCUACCUACCAGGUGAGCCAAGGCCCCUGUGUGUGUGUGUGCCCACUGAGCAUGAUGUGUGCCCACUGAGCUUUGUGUGUACCUUUCCAGGGCUUUUGAUAGUUACAUAGACAGCUCUGUUAACCCUAUCAAAGACUUCUAAUGCUCCUUCACAAAUCCAAUCACACUUCUCUUUAAAUGCACCCUUUGUUCUGAUUUGCCAUACUUUUGCCUGUUCUUAAAAUUCUUGAAGCUGUGAUUAAACAAGUAAGAUUUUAUCUGAACUUUUUCUCUUAGCACAGUGUUUUUGGAGUUGAUCUUUAUUGCCUUGAUUAGAAGUGUUCUGGUUUUUUAAUGGAUGGAAUAUGAGAACAACAUCUUUGCUAUUGGACUGACUUCCAUUUACUGAACAAAAGCAUGCACUCAGUCUGCAUUUGUAAGGCUUGAGGCCAUUGUAUUAUCCAUUUUUAGGAGUUGCCUCUUCUGAGAUGCCUUUUUAACACUACUUCACUUUGGAGCAUGGGGUCUUCAUUCCAACAAGACUCAAAGCCUAAAUUCUCAGUUGGCUUAAGUUUUAUGUAAUCAGGGGCUGGGGAUGUAGCUCAGCAGCGCAGUGCCUGCCUGGCAAGCGCAAGGCCCUGAGGUUGGUUCCUGGUACCAAAAAAUAAAAUAGUAAAAAAAAAGAAAAAAGCAGUUUUAUGUAAUCCAUAAGCAGAGUCUUUUAGCAGAGCUGUUUUGCAUCUCUGCUUCCAAAUUCCCCAGAUUUUUGCUAAGCGUUCUGUCAUUAACAAGUACUAAUGUUUUAAAAUAUUCUAGCGACUCUUAGAGCUAUAUAAAUAUUGUUAGCAUGAAGUGUGUCUUCCAAGAUACCAUAAACAGUGAUUUUAGUAAACAUUUUGCUAUGGAAUCAUAAAGGUUUUUGGAUUUAUCAAGUUCACCAGAGAAACUAUGUAUCAGUAUUGGGGGAGGGUAUAUGAUUCAUGUUUUAUGAAUUGGCUUAGGCAGUUUUGGAGGCACAGUCCAAAAUUUGUAGGGUGAGCCAGCAGACUAGAGGUCUAGGGAAGAGCCCUUGUUGCAGGUCAGGUGGGAAGGCCAUGUGCUGGAGAAUUCCACUUCCAGUGGUAUUUUGUUGUAUUCAGUCUUAUCUGAUUAGAGGACGCCUACCCAUUGUGAAAUACAAUCUGUUUCAUCUGGUCUGUUAAUGCAAAUGUUAAUCUCAUCCCAAAAUAUCCUCACAGAUACACUCCGAAUAAUAUAUGACCACAUAUCUGGGCUCCAUUGUUGAACAUAAAAUUAAGCUAUUGAUAGUAUUUUCGGCACAGAAGGGAACCAUCUGAUGGAAUUUUUGGCGUGGCUAAAAACAUAAGAAAUAGGAAAUAAAAGUGGCCUUUAUUUUAAGAAUGUGGGGAGAGACCUCAUGACCUCCGGGAUCUGGCAUUCUCUCCGCUAGACUCGUGGUGUGGGGCAUACAUGUAGCUUAGGGUUGAGGUGGUGCCUAAGGAGCAUUAGUGAUGCACAGGUAGCCCAUUGGUAUUUAUUUCCCAUCACAGGUAAAUUGCCUAGGGGCGGGAAAAGUGACCUCAAGAUAGAGCCCCUUGGUUCUGCCUUCCAGCUUCCCAUGGGCUACUGUGUCCCAACUGGGGCAAGAUCCUUUCAGCUAUUACACUGGCUUUCUAACCGUUAGUGUUUGAGAUCUUGCACCUUAUUACCUGCCAGCUAAGCCAGGUCUACAUUAUAGAUACUGUUUAAACAACUCCACAUGUGGUACCAGUAUUAGUGAUUUUACUUCUAAUACAACAACAACAACAACAAAGGAGGCUCAAAAUAAUAGUGACUUGAUAAAGUGUAACUCUGCUUCCCAGGGUUGCCCUGGCAGUCAGAAGAUUGUGGAACUUUAUAAUCAUCAGAGUCACAGUCCACACAGGGUUUAAUCCACAUUGCAGCUAGUAGGAAGGAAUAAAAAAGUAUAUCUUGUGAGACUUCCACUUAUAUCUCAUGGGUCAGCUAAAUCAUAUGCCUGUCUUCAUUGAAGGCAGUUUAGGAAAUUGGCCUUAGCAUGCCCAAUUAAAAAUUCCAUUACUACAGGAAGAAAAACAGAUGCUGAAGACUAGAAAUAUCUGCUACAUGUUGUAAUAAACAACAAAAAAAAAUCCAUUAGUGAGAGAAUCAGUUGAAAUAUAAGUAGUAGAUGACAAAGAUCUUACCUAAGUGAAUAAGACAGAAAUACAGACAUGGUUAGAUAUGAAAGAUGUUGUCAAUGGAUAAUUAAUAGAAUUUGCUGAUUGGGUGGGCCUGGAGUUGGAAGGUGGUCAAGACCAGUUUGUUAAGAGCAGAAGCUGUGAAACCACAUUGCUUAGAUUUGAAUCCUGGUUUGAUAUAGUUAUUAUGAAGAUAAUAUAAUGAUAUAGUUAUUAUGAAGAGGUAUCAUUACUUCAGAUUAUUUGGAAUUUUAGUGAAGGACUACUCCUCCGUGACCCUAUACAAGUUACUUUCUUUUCUUAGUUUUCUUUUCUGCAAAGUAAGAAUAAUGACUUAUGUCUCAAAACUAACUGAACAAUGGUAUGAAGUGCAUAUGUAGCAUACCUGACUUUGGGCAAAAAGGUAAACAAAUGAUAAAGUUGUAGGUAGAACUAAUAUGUGAAGAGAGAGGAAGAAAAAAUACUUACAUAAGAAGGCUAAACGUAGAUGAAGAAGAAAGAGCAUUUUCCAGAAGACAAAGUAGGAUAACCAUUCAAGAACUUUGUGAAAGGCUGAAUCAAAUAGUAUGGUAAGAUGAAGACCAGUAGUAUGUGUGCACUGGAUUAUAAUGUACACUGGAUAUGUACAUAUUUUUUCAUAAGCUUCUGAGGAAAAUGAAUAUUUUAUCUACCUUUUAUAAUUAAAAAUGGUUGAAUUACCAAUUAUUUGGGCUAAUGAUAUAGUUAUUAUGAAGAGGUAUCAUUACUUCAGAUUAUUUGGAAUUUUAGUAAAGGAAUACUUUUGAGUUUCUAACUGCUGGUUCUAAUUUGUUAAUAUUCUUCAAAACUGCCAUUUAAAUGUCAGUAGAGGCACACAUUUCUCAGCAUAAGGCAUUUGUUUUCAUUCACUUUAUUAUUAAAUGCUGUGCAGCAGCACAGUAUAGGUGGGGGUUUCAUACUAUAUAAAAGAACUGUUAAUUCUCAGGUUUUUUUGUUAAGAAUACUUAAAGGUACAUAAUUAUUUUUUACCUUCAUUGACUAUUUGGAGCAAUUGGAGUGAGAAAAUGUGUACACUGGCAUCCUAUGUCUUCCUGCUCGAGAUGCCAUACUUAUUUUAGCAGCUGUAGUGCUUGCUACAGGGUAAAUAGCAGUGUUAAGGUUGUACUCCUUCUGGCAUGAGAUUGGAUGGUAGUCUUUGUGCUGCAUUAAUUAACCAUAUAACUUCAGACAAGUAGAGUUUGUGAUGCUUGACUUGAUAAAUCAGGACGGGCUGUUUACCUUGUACACUCACCUCAUAAGGUUUUAUUGAGACUGUGUGUGGAGUGUUCUUUAAGCACCAAAUAAAAAUAAGGUGUCUUUGUUAAUUAGGCUGAUCACAUGUCCUUUGCUCAGUUAACAUAGGAAUCGGCAUUGUUUGAUUCGUGAGCCAAAUCUCCAUUCCCAUUUAUUCAGCAACAUUCUACUCUAAGCAGCAAGAAUUUCCUUAUGGAAUAAUAUAGUGCCUGUCCAUUACAUUCCCCUCUCCUGAAGUGCGGCUUUUCACUUUGGUUGUAAAUUUAGUUUACUGGUUAUACCUUGUGAAGUAACAUGCAGGUAGCCUUAUAAUGUAGUCCCAUAGAGGGUUUCUAAAAUAGUAAUUCUAUAUUAAAUUUUAUAUUAAAUUGUAUAAAAUAGUAAUUGAAUAUUAAAUGAUUUAAAUAAGCUAAUUACAGCAUUGAGCUCCUAUUGUUCUUUCAAAUAUUUAACAUUAUUACGCUUGGUUGGUUUUUAAAAAAUGUACAUUGCCAGAGUUUCCAAGAUGAGGAGGGAAUCUUACUCAUCUUGUGGCAUUCAAGGAGUCAAGUCUGUUUCCACUUGAUUGCUUCCUUCUGCCCAUAUUUGACUCCAAGUAUACCUUACUCUUCCCUUGAUACAAGAACAUUAAUAAAGAUGAAGAAAAAAUAUAUUUGUCAUAAUAUUGUUUAGCUAUAAUUUUAAUUUUUCAAGAGUACAGACAUACCUGAUUCCUUUACUUUAGCACCAGAAAUCAUAGUUGAGACAAGGGCUGUAACUCCAAACAUUGUUACAAGGAUGACAUAAAUGAAGUUUAUCUCCAUGAGGAAUUAAUGAAAGGGGAAAAAGUCAUUUCCUGCUUUGAUCAAAAGAUGGCACUGUUGCUGUGCCGACUGCUUUUUCUUAUAUUUUGGCCUCAGGCCUUUUUUUAAAUACAGAAAACAGUUAAAUUUAGUGAUCUAAUUAACACUGACCCUCCUAAACAGAAUGCCAAAUAUUCUAAUCAAGCACCAAAAGAAUAGAAUGAAAAUGGGGAAUUUAUAAUUUUUAAAAUGUGUAAGGGAUCUUAAUGGCUAUUUAUAAUAAAAUUCUGUGAAAUUCAGAGAUUUGUCGUGAGAAAAAUAGGACAUUCUGUAUCACAUUUUAAAUUUUAGUUAAGUUUUGAGUUGCCUUCUUUUUGAAACUUUGUACUUACUCAAAGACAUUUUUUAACUGUUAUAUUUUGUUUUAGCUUGUCAAGGUUACUGAAUUUGAACUGUCAUAAAAAUAAUACUUUUACCUUGGAAGUACUAAAUUCAGAUGAUCAUUUUUAUUUUCUUUGUACACUGUAGUUCACUUGUUAAUAGUUGAAAGCCUGUGUGGACUAGUGUGGAAGUGUCAAAGUAGCCUCUCUUUUGUGCCCAGAAAGCAACACCUUAUUUCUGAGCUAUUUCUUAAAUAGCUCUUGAAGGUUGGUUCUCUACUUUCCUUUAAGCAGAUCUUUCAAGGAUAGGAAACCACAUUUGGGAGAAGAUAAAAUGAAUGCCUUGAAAAUAGACUUUAUUAUUGAUGCAUGAAGUGUUUUUUAAAAAUGCAAACACAAUUCAAAACACUAUUUGAGAUCAAGGGGAAAGGAGCUCUUGGUUUACUGAGAGAGGACAAAAUGAUUCAGUCUGUCUUCUUACCUUAUAUCAGAAUGAGAAAACACUAGUUAACUAUGGCACGUAGACUGCUUAUUAGUGGAUGUAGCUGUCUGAUGGUGUGUGUGUGUGUGUGUGUGUUGACUAUCCAACCAAGAGUCUCUUGCACAUACUAGGUAGGUACACUACAGCCAUAUCCCUUCAGAUCCUCUGUUGCUUCUUGAAGUUGAGAUAUUCUGUACAAAUUUGCAAAGAAAUAACUUGAAUCUAAAAGCCCAGCAUCUUAGUCAAAGCCUUUGAGGCCAGAUGUAUUUUAGAAUUCAGAUUUUGGGGGAGAACAUAAAAAUAAUACAGUGUAUAUCAUAUUCAGUAUAUGAAAUAACCCUUUUCCUCCGGUGGGGUCUAGAGGAAGACAGUAACCCAGUGUAUCAAUACUUUCUUAGCAAAAUAUAAAUAGCAUACCAUAUAGGGCAUAGCAUACCAUAUUAGUGAGCCAUUUGUUGCUAGGACCAAACACUUGAUACACCCUGCUUAAAGAAGAAAGUGAUAUAUUUGGCUCACAGUUUCAGAGCUUAAGAUUAAUGGUAGGCAGGCUGUAGCUCAGAAACAUAAUGGCGGAAUGAUCUGAUAAAAGAAACCUACUUAGUUAAUUGUGGCCUGGAGGUAGAGCAAGGGAAUAGUGCCAGAGAGGAAGAAGCCAGGGAUAUAUAGGGGUCCCAGGGUCACACCUCUGAAACCGACCAAGAAAUGUGCUUUACUUAUCUCCCAAGCUAACUGAGUUGCAAUCCAGUUUAACGGUUACUGAUGGUAAAUUGACCAUAAAUAACUUGUCAGUUUAGGUUAGAUUUUGAGGCUACAUGAACCUGCCAGAAACUUCAAACAAAAACUGUAGAUUUCAGUGUUUUUUUGAUAUCACAAUGAAGUAUAAGAAAUAGGAGAUCUGAAGUAUCUUUGAAGUAUACUCAGAAUGGCUAAAAAGCUACUGAGCAUUUUUGUGUUUCUAAAUUUGGAAAAUUUAAAUUUAUUUUAUGUUUUUCUUGUAAGAAUGUGUUUUGUUUCAUUUUGCUUUUAGCAGCUUUAUCAGUUAGAUGAUUCAAGUACAAAAUUCAUCAUAGUCUAUUCCAUAAUGCUUGAAAUCAGCCAAAGAUUUGGGAAAUGUUUUAAUUGCUCAUAUCUGCCACAAAGCAACAGGGUAGCUAGGUGUAGCUAAAAUAGUCGGUAGUACUUAGGAUAAAAGCAUUUCCCACUAUAUUUUAAUCAAGAUCAGUUUUGCUUACCACAUCAGUGUUAUAAGCUAGAAUGUUACCCCAUAUUUCAACACUUAUGUGGGAGGCUUCUGAGGAGAAUAUGUAUGUUUCAGGGAAAUGGUGGAGGGUUUAUAUGACAUAGCAGUCCUGCUUCCUUUCAAAACACUUCUCCAAGGUUUGUAUGAUAGUUGGAAAUUAUGUAUUAAAUAAAAUAUACAACCCAAAUUAUUUUCAUUAGUUCUCAUGUGGAUUUUAGAAACGUACACAGAUGAUAAAGGUUUCAAGUGUUAGGCUAGAAAUCUACCUAAUCUGAUCAUGGACUGUCAUAUCUUAGUGCUAGACUGCUGUGAAAUUCAUUGAAUUUCUUACUUCAUAUGUUUUUGUUACAUCAGUACUGGUUGCUUGCUUGUUACUUUUAUAUGGAAGCCAUAACUUACUGAUGUCAGUUGUCUCCAGCCACAACAAUUUGUUUGAUACUCAUAGUUUUUGUUACUCAUUAUGCCUUCCAGAACCAAUUAAUGAAUACUGAGGUACCACUGUAGUACUUUUGCCUCUGCUACAGUUAGUCAUAAUGUUUUUAAAAGUCUGCUUAGAAGCUUACAUUGCUACUAUUCAAAAUGAAUAUCACCAGUCUUAAUGCAACUUGGUUUGUAGUAAUUCACACAAUGUGGUUAUAGUACCGAUGACUAAUAUUAAAUUUCUCAGGAUCUUGUUUGACCAUGAAACUUAAGAGACAUUAAAAAGACAAGGAGGGAAAACCCACUCAAGGACCCCUUCUGUCUCUCAGAAGCUUUCUUUCUCAGUAAAUACAUUCUGCUCUUAAUGUUCGUUGUAACUAAAAUUCAUUCUUCGAUUUUAGAGAAUACAAACUUACACUGGAUAUGUAGUAGGUUGGGAAUUUUGUUCUCUUAUACCAUUUGCAGUUUGAGAUCAUUGGAUAGAGCUAAGAAUUUGCUUUUAUUUCAUAGACUCUGCUCUGAGACUGGUUUAGAUAACAAAUUUUUAUGCUUCAAAUUUUGCUUUUUCUUUGCCCAUUGCUUAUAAUUGCUUGUGAUUUGUCUUUGCCUACUGUUUAUAAUUGCUUUGUCUCUUAUGUAGUUUUGUUAAAAUGGUGACAUAUCUGAGUUAAAAUAUGGGACAUUUAUAAAAUUUUGUUCUUGUGUAUGUUACAUUUAAACUAGUUGCUUGACUUUUUUGCAUUUUUUAACAAUUUUAUUUAAAGAAAGACAAAACAAAACAGAAAAUGGGUAGAAACAAUACAUAUGUUCAAAGAAAAAUAAACACUAAGAAAUCACUAAUUAAUGUUUACAUACUGUCCUUUUACAAAUAGUUGUUCAAGAUACAAAAGUGGAACAUAUAAAGUGGGAAUUCCAACAGCGAGACUGCAAACAGUUCUGUUCAAUUAUCCAACAAAAAGUUAGUAAUAUGGUUGUCAGUCCUAUACAUUUAAACAUACAUGCAGUAAGGGGCUGGGGAUUUAGCUCAGCGGCAUAAGCACCUGCUUUGCAAGCAGGCGGUCAUGAGUUCAAUCCCUGGUACCGGUAAAAACAAACAAACAAAAACCCAAUAUCUGUAGUUAUCCAUAUCUUCAUUUAUGUUGGGAUUAAACAACUAAAUCAGGCUAAAGUCAUUCUGAACAAAGAAUAAUACUAUUGCUGGAUUUCACAUCAUGACACUCUGGGAUCAGCACUGGGUACUGUAGUGUCUUUUUAAAAAUUUUUAUUUAAAGAAAGACUAAACAAAACAGAAAACAGGUAGAACUAAUACAUUCUUUGAAAGAAAAAAAUAAACAGUAAGAAAUCACUAGUUGAUGAUUACAGAUUGUCCUCUUACAAAUAGUUAUUCAAGAUACUAAAGUGGAGCAUAUAAAGUGUGGAUUCAUGCACUGACACUGCAACCAGUUCUGUUCAACUAUCUAUCAAAAACUUAGAAAUAUGGUUAUCAAUCCUGUAUACUUAAACAUAUGUGCAGUUAUCCGUAUCUUCAAUUAUGUUGAGAUUGAACAAAUCCAAGCAGUCUAAUAACACUCUGAACAAAGAAUAGUACUAUUGCUGGGUUUCACAUUUUGACCCUCAGGAUCAGCACUGGGUCUCUUUUUCUUCAAAGUAUCUGUUCGUUUCAUCAUAUGUCGUAAGAUCAGUUCUCAUAAACUGUUUAUAGAUUCUACACAUGCAUGAGCCUUAACAUGUAUUUCUAUCCUUUCUAUGUUAGAGGGAGAAGCAAAACAAAGUAAGACAAAAUAAAACAUUCCUAUAAACAUAUGGAAUGAAAAAGACAUAUAAGACCAUUGUACAAGGAGUUCUACCAUAUUUCCUGUGUUGUCUCUUGUUCAAUAGAAUUGGCUAUAUCAUCAGGUAUAGUAUAAUAGAACAUAGCAGUCCAUAACAGUAUUAAUAAAAAUAGAACUUUGUAUAUAGUUUAAAACUUCAAAAGCAGGCAGUUAUCAAACCAGAAUGUGUAUUAUAGAGUCUUGUCAUCUUGUUGCUUAUACUCUCAGAAUUGAUACUAUCAUUUCAGUUUUGAAUAAAAUCUGUCGAUACCAAACAGCAAUCAAACAAACCAGAUUUAACUAAGAUCAGUCAUGAUAAAACAGUAUAAGUCAUACAGGGCUCCAGAAUAAGAUAAUAGGAAAUUAAAGAUGAUUACUAUGCUAUAUCCUGAUGUUUUUGGGAUAGCUGUGUAUGCCCUCAAAUCUAAUGCAAGUAGACAAACUGGGACAGAAUAAAAUCUAUCACAAAAGAGAAUAAAAUCUGUCUAAGCACAGUGGUGUAAGUAAUGUGGGUUUUAAAUCCUGAUACACUAUUAACAAUAUCUUCUGCCAUCUUUUUUAGGACUUUCCCUCCCCUUUCACUUCCUCCGGGGUACACUGUGCAUUUUUGGGUCUGACCAAGACCCUUGGUUUUAAAUGGGGGGGGGGCACACCUGCUAUUCACCUAAAUGGUUCCAAACCUUCUCUCUCCUGGACUUGAUCUCUAAUUGUAUUCCUUUACCUAUUAAAGCCUGUCUUUCCAACCUAUCCACAAAUACUGGUCUAGUUGUCCACAUUACUCUCUGGUUCUCUGUCACAUAGAGCAUUGUUUUCUUAUAGUUGAUUUUCAGUCCAUGUACUCUUUUUUCAUGUUAAUUAUGUUUCCUAUAAAUAGCAUCUCAGUGGACCCUACUUUCUGAUCUACUCUCCCUGUGUUUCUUUUGUGUGUGUGUGUGUGUGUGUGUGUGUGUGUGUGUGUGUGUUUCAAGGCCAUCUAUGUUAGAGAUUAUAGCCAACCUUCUCUGCCUCAUUUCUCCUAUGCCAUUUUUCUGCCAUUGGUUGUCUACUGUUUUCCUUCACUCCACUGUCUACCCCUUUCAUUGAGUUCUCUCUGCCACUAUUCUUGGAACCCUGCAAUCUCUCUCUAGAAUGUCCUUCAGUGUUCUCUGUAGAGUUGGAUUGGUGGUUGUGAAAUCCCCCAGUUCCUCUUUGUCUUGGAAGCAUCUUGUUUCUCCUCUAAUUUCUAGAGACUGUUUAUCAGGAUAUAUCAAUCUGGGUUGGAGGUUAUUUUCUUUCAGGGCUUGGAAUAUUUCACCCCAGGCUCUUCUUGACUUGAUGGUUUGUGUUGAGAAGUCUGCUGUGAUGCUGAUGGGCCUUCCUUUAUAGGUUAUCUGUUUCUUGUCUCUAACAGCUUUUAAUAUUCUGCUCUUAUAUGGAAUUUCUGGGAUCUUGAUUAUUAUAUGCCUGGGUGUAGCUCUGUUUUGGUUAUAGGUGGCUGGAGUUCUGUAUGCCUCAUACAUCAGAAUAUCAUUUCUUUUUCCUAUGUUUAGGAAGUUUUCCUUAAUUAUUUCUGUGAAUAGCCUUUGUAGUUCCUUUGUUUGUACCCCUGCUUUUUCUUUUUUUUUUUUUUUUUUUUUUUUUUUUUUUUGUCUUUUUCGUUUUUAUCGGUACCAGGGAUCGAACUCACGACUGCCUGCUUGCAAGGCAGGUGCUUAUGCCGCUGAGCUAAAUCCCCAGCCCCACCCCUGCUUUUUCAUUCAUGUUCUUUAUUCUCAAGUUGUAGAUCUUCUUGUCAUCUUCUAGCCUUUGUAUUGUUACUGCUUGUUUCCUUGUUAUUUUUAAAAAAUUUUUCCUUUCAUAAUCCCACAUUGCAAAACUGUCCUCCAGUUUGGAUAAUCUAUCGUUAGUUUCUUUCAAGCAGAUUUGCCAUCUUUCCAUAGAGUUUUAAAUUUCCUGGUAAUCUCUUUGAAUGUGCUUCAUGUACUCUAUAUUUUGUGUAUAUACUUCAUCAAAUGGUUCUCUCCUUUGUUUGAGUUCCUCCCUUCUUCGGUCUGUGUCUGCCCUAGGGGUUCUUAACAUCUCUUUUAUUAAUCUUCUUAUAUCUUUCUUUACUUGGCUAAAUAUUUCACUUUUGAACUCAUCUAUGAGGUCCUGAAGAUACCUCUUUGUGUCCACUGGUGCUGUCUGAUAUUGCAUGUUUGCUGUUCUCAUUUUCCUUUGAAUUUACCUGUCCUGGGUCAGUGUUCUCAGGGUUGGGACCUGGGGACUUUUUGUUGUUGCUUCCUCUUUCCAUCUUUUUUGUUUCCUCCAUGAGGCCCCAGUUUCUUUCUUUGUUGGUUACAGUUCUUUUGAAGCACCACUGCAGUGUGCUAGUGAGUUGCAGGCAGGGGCAGCAUAUGCUGGCCCCUCCCCUUCAGAAUAGUCAAGCUACUGAAGCCUGCACUGUAUUACUAUGUGCUGUUUCCCCUCUGGAUCAGUCAGACUUCUGAGCCUUCACUCCAUUAGUGUGGUUAGUGUGCGCCAGGUCGCAUGACCCAGGCAUAGCUCACUCCACCAAACCUGUUUGGGAAGGGAACAGCUGACUGAAGUCGCUGCUGCCCCUUUUACUUGCCAGUCCUGCCCAGUCCCAGAAUGUCAUCCACUGAAGUUCCCCUUUCUGUGAAAUGGCUCCACUCCCAUCACUCACCACAGGUCGGUGUAGGCUUCCCAUCAUCUUAGCUGUGGUUUAGGCUGGCCGAUGACUCCUGACCUUAGUGUGACUGCAUCUCUAGUGAGUCUAAGCAGCGGGACCUCAGAUGGCUUGGCAAGUCGCUUGCUGUGGUGGGUGCAGUAAACCCUUAGCUGUUCCAUUAAUAGCACCAGGACUGUAUAUUUGAUUGGGUCUUCUCACCUGAGUUUCUUCUUGGGACGAGAGAAUUCAUCUACCUCUGUUCGGGCUCCCCACACUGUAUUAUGUUGAUUUCUAAGUUGACUAUCUCAGGGAGCCUCUGUAGCCAGCUGUUAUCUAUCCACCAUCUUUCCUCCACCCCUAGUUGCUUGACUUUUUUAAACAGUAUUACUGGAGAGAGUAAUGUUACCUUGUGGUUUUGUUCUAUAAAAGUCCCUAGAAAAGAAGACUUGGCAGCCCACUUCGGACCCCUUCAGUCUCUCAGGAACCCCAUUGUUUCAAUAAAUAUAUUCUGCUUUUCAAAAAAAAAAAAAAAAAAAGAUAA